AGGGCGUUAGCUAGCAGUAACUACUAACACCAAUACACCAUUUCCAGUUUUCGUGAGAUUAAGUGCUAACUGGGGAAUCAGUCGAAUGAUAAAUAUACAACCACUGCAAUUAGCGUACUCCUCACAAAAUAAUGUGUGUAAGAGGUGUGCUCGGUUUUCGGACAGAACGUGCCGACGGGUGACAGCUGUGCAGGAGAUGAGGAAAAUGUACGCGAAGCCGACCGCCUGGCUGUCUCUCCACAGCAGUUUGCAGCUCUCUGUGCGGGGGUGCAGGGAGAACAACACCUCCUCCUGUGAGGACCUCUCCACUACCUGACUGAGCAGGAACACAAUCACCCUCUCCA